GUGGGGAAUCUUCCGCAAUGGACGAAAGUCUGACGGAGCAACGCCGCGUGAGUGAUGAAGGUCUUCGGAUUGUAAAGCUCUGUUAAUCGGGACGAAAGAGCCUAGUGUGAAUAAUGCUAGGAAGUGACGGUACCGGAAUAGAAAGCCACGGCUAACUACGUGCCAGCAGCCGCGGUAAUACGUAGGUGGCAAGCGUUGUCCGGAAUUAUUGGGCGUAAAGCGCGCGCAGGCGGCUCUGCCAGUCUGUCUUAAAAGUUCGGGGCUUAACCCCGUGAUGGGAUGGAAACUACAGAUCUAGAGUAUCGGAGAGGAAAGUGGAAUUCCUAGUGUAGCGGUGAAAUGCGUAGAUAUUAGGAAGAACACCAGUGGCGAAGGCGACUUUCUGGACGAAAACUGACGCUGAGGCGCGAAAGCCAGGGGAGCGAACGGGAUUAGAUACCCUUGUAGUCC
rnacentral:rRNA from 1 species